rnacentral:rRNA from 1 species
CCUACGGGGGGCAGCAGUGAGGAAUAUUGGUCAAUGGACGAGAGUCUGAACCAGCCAAGUAGCGUGAAGGAUGACUGCCCUAUGGGUUGUAAACUUCUUUUAUAUGGGAAUAAAAUGUUCCACGUGUGGGUUUUUGUAUGUACCAUAUGAAUAAGGAUCGGCUAACUCCGUGCCAGCAGCCGCGGUAAUACGGAGGAUCCGAGCGUUAUCCGGAUUUAUUGGGUUUAAAGGGAGCGUAGGUGGGUUGUUAAGUCAGUUGUGAAAGUUUGCGGCUCAACCGUAAAAUUGCAGUUGAUACUGGCAGUCUUGAGUACAGUAGAGGUAGGCGGAAUUCGUGGUGUAGCGGUGAAAUGCUUAGAUAUCACGAAGAACUCCGAUUGCGAAGGCAGCUCACUGGACUGCAACUGACACUGAGUCUCGAAAGUGUGGGUAUCAAACAGGAUUAGAUACCCUAGUAGUC